UACGUAGGGCGCAAGCGUUAUCCGGAAUUAUUGGGCGUAAAGGGCUCGUAGGCGGUUUGUCGCGUCGGGAGUGAAAAUCCAGGGCUUAAACUCUGGACUGGCUUUCGAUACGGGCAGACUAGAGGUAUGCAGGGGAGAACGGAAUUCCUGGUGUAGCGGUGAAAUGCGCGAUAUCAGGAGGAACACCGGUGGCGAAGGCGGUUCUCCUGGGCAUUACCUGACGCUGAGGAGCGAAAGUGUGGGAGGCGAACAGG
rnacentral:rRNA from 1 species